GAUGAACGCUGGCGGCGUGCUUAACACAUGCAAGUCGAACGGAAAGGCUCCUGCUUGCAGGGGUACUCGAGUGGCGAACGGGUGAGUAACACGUGGGUGAUCUGCCCUGCACUUCGGGAUAGGCCUGGGAAACUGGGUCUAAUACCGGAUAGGACCACAUUUUGGAUGGUGUGGUGGAAAGUUUUUCGGUGUGGGAUGAGCUCGCGGCCUAUCAGCUUGUUGGUGGGGUAAUGGCCUACCAAGGCGUCGACGGGUAGCCGGCCUGAGAGGGUGGACGGCCACAUUGGGACUGAGAUACGGCCCAGACUCCUACGGGAGGCAGCAGUGGGGAAUAUUGCACAAUGGGCGCAAGCUUGAUGCAGCGACGCCGCGUGGGGGAUGACGGCCUUCGGUUUGUAAACUCCUUUCGCUAGGGACGAAGCGCAAGUGACGGUACCUGGAGAAGAAGCACCGGCUAACUACGUG
rnacentral:rRNA from 1 species